ACGCCUACUCGGACUGUUUCUAGCUUAUCUUUUAGCUUUACGGAGAAUCUCUGGAAUUCUAGUGCUGAAAAUCAUGCUUAAUAAAUCCAUUUUGUAUUGAGAACUUUGACGGGCCAGCCUGAAAAUCUAGAGACUUGGAUGUCAUUUUUGAACUAUUAUUGUAGUUGGAAGAAUGGCUUCCACUCGGCAGAGAUUUGGAGUGUAUUCCUCAUUUCUGAGAGGGCUGCUAAGUGUCCAAGCGCAUGCAGUUACUUGGGAAGGGAAAUUAAUUCCUGGAUGUAUCCGAUGCAUUUACAGUGCCACAGGGAAGUGGACAAGGGACUAUACUCUGCAGACCAGAAAGGAGGUUGAAAAAUGGUGGCAUCAAAGAGUCAAGGAAGAGUUCUUCAAAAUCUCAGAG